AUGUUUUUAAGGAUAUUUGUUUACACAAAAGGAAUUCUGAAGAUCCAAUUGAAAAUGCACUGCUGUGUCUGUUUUCCUUCUGAUUGUUGUGGACUGCAGAUAGCCAAAUGGAAUGAAGGAGAGAGAGAGAGAGAAACAGUGGAAAAGGAAGAGGUGUGUCGAGGGUCUGAGCAGCGAUGGGAGGCAGGUAGAGGAUAUGAAGCUGUUAAAAAAAAGAUUCAGUGGAUGAAUGAUGAAGGAGACCUGUUGUUGAACACACAUUUAUCCUCAGGCAUAAAAGAAGAGCACCAAAAGAGUGAGAACAAAACCUAUUACCAUCUCUACUGGAGGUGGAAGGAAUAUGGAAUCGUGCUGAAAUACCUCAGGAGGAUAAGGCAGCCUGAGGGAAGGAGAAGUCUGAUGGAGACAGAGGGAUGAAAGGAUGAGUGAAAUCCCGUUGCGGAGGCAGGUCGACAACUGACCAAGGCGGAGCUGGUGGGACAAGGGAGCCCAGUGGAGAAAGCGAGAAAGGAACCAAGGCAGAGCUGACACGUUGGAGGUCCAUGAUGGAGUCUGGGACUCAGAGGCUUAUGGUUACACCAAAAAAAUAACUACUGUCUCGGUCUGAUCUUCUGUUGCACGAUUGUGCUGGAUAUAAAGCACACAACACAGGGAAGUACAAAACAGUCUUUAAAUAAUAAUAAAUCCAGAGGGAACAAACUCAGUAGAUCGUAGGAGUAAAUGUAGCACAAACAUAAAUGACAUUAGAAUAAGAAUUAAGGAAACACAUAUUUUAAAUAUACAGGGAGUGUAAUCACGGAGACAGAAACAGGUGUGGGCUAAUCAGAAACCAUAGAAACAAACUAGAGGGAAAAAAUGAGAACCUAGGAAAACAAGACCAUGAACCAGACAGAAAUCAAAUAUUUAUUUAUUCAUUCAUUCAUUCUACAAAGGAACUUUGUGUACACAGGUGUGUUAGGACAAUCAUCCAAAAACUCAAAUAAGAGUCCUCUAUAUAAAAUUUCUAAUUAGAGAACAUGGAAGUUGAAAGAAAAUAUUCAGUGGUUGAAAACUGCUAAAGCAAGUUUUAAUGCAUAAUGUAAACGCAAAUCUGAAACAAUAAAUAAAUGAAUAAAUAAAUAAAAAUGAAAAAGAAGGCACAAAUUAUGGACCGGCUCCAGGAAAGAGUGAGACAGUGAAAUAUAUUGUGUGUAAUAUUGUACAUGAUCUAAAAUGUCAAUAAUGUAAAUAUGUCUGUUAAAAUACGUUUUAAAUAGACAUAGAAAACAGAAAAUGUGCAUGAUUUAGUAUCUUAGUUGAAGUUACUCUUGGCAGCUCUGAUUCCUGAAUGACGCACAGACACGGCAAUGUGGCUAUUUGAUUUGUGUUGAUUUCAUUCAUAGAGUUUACACUCAUUCACUUAACAUACUCAUUAUAGCAUGGUGAUUUUAGAAGUUUAUGGAUAAUAAUGUGCUAUCUUCUGGCUCACCUGUUACCCAGCAAACACAAGGAGUGACUGUGUCUGCAGAAUAUUUUUCCUAUUAUUCGGUAGAAUUCAUUAUUUGUUUUGAAGCCAUUAUCCAAUUCAUAAUUUGUUUUGAAGCCAUUAUCCAUGCCUUUCUGAAUAAGGUAUUCGUCUUCUGGCACAUCCUUAAUUAUGAGCUCAAAACGCUUUUACCAGUGGUCUCAAUUUCAGUUCCUGCAGACAUUAGCUCCAACAAGCUCCAAGAAAGAAGUUUCUAGUAAUCCUGAAGGGGCUUGAUGAGCUUGUUCAGUUGUAUUUGAUUAGGGUUGGAGCUAAACUCUGCAAACUGUGGCCCUCCAGGAAGUUUGAGACCACUGACUUUUACCAUAGUGCAUGGUUUGUAAAGUAAUUCAUUCUGGCAUUUCAGUGUCAUAACCAGCUCCAUAUGUAUGGAUUUUCUGACAUAGUAAACUUGCUGGGUAGCUCAACUGGUAUAAUAUUGCUCUUGAGAUGCUUGGGUAAGUUCUGUGAGUCACAAUAAAAGAGUUCAAAGACUUUGAAGAUGCAAAAUAAAAUGUCAUGGUUUCAUCAGCAAACGCGUUUUAUCUCACUUUUGGUUUCGUUAACAUUAUUGGUUAGGUUUAGGCUAAGGUUUAGUGUAGCUGGUACAUAAACUUUGCCAGAUUCUCUGUACAAGAAUACCUCCAUAUUUACUUACUAAACACAUAUCCCUUCAUCACUGGCUCAUGGAAUAUUUCAUGGUCUAAGAAUCAUGAGAAAGUGAAUGUGAAAUCAUGCACCUGUGUGGUGGCUGCAUAUAUCCCUUCAAACUUUGGAGGCCUAUUUGGAGUUUUCAGCUGUUAUAGCACUAAUCCUGGUAAUUUCAGGACCAGUGUUCCUGGACUGUCAGGCACAUCAGGCCACAUCAGAGACACACUAAAAUAGUGAGGAGUCUGUGGGCCCUUCGCCGAUAAUUAGAAUGCCAUGUGUUCAUUCCUACAAGCUAAAACAGCACUUGUUAAAUGAAAAGCUGUCACACUUUAAUUGUCUCCACUGAGACACGUUGAGGGGGAAGGGGGGAGAGAAGUAAUCCUGCAAACACAGGGCAAAUCAUGAGGAAGCAAGGUCUGAAAAAUUACUACACCCUUAGAGAUGUAUCAGCAUAUCAUUUCCUAGUUGGAAGACAUCAUGGCAGUUUGGAUUAAAUGGAGUGCUGAUUGUUUGUAUGACAUUCUUCUCAUGUCACUCUGAAAUGCUAUUGGAGGAAAAAAAAGAAGAAGAAGAAAAAAUAAUCUUUUUCUAUGUAUUUAUCCAAGUUGCAUUUAGUUACCUAAUUUUCACUGCUUGCACUGCUUUAAUAAGGACUUGAGGUCUGUAUGGUUAUCAAGUAAUGUAUUGAAGAUACACACUUGAUUUGUGACCUUGGAAGAACACCAUUAUGUUUUAUGUUAAAAACAACCCAUAAACAACUCUCACAAACAAAUGAUUAUAUGAAUUACUGUUUGGAAUUGUUUGAACUAUAAACACUGAAAAAAAAAUGUCCCUUUACAUGUGCUCCUACUUUUUAGUCUGGUCAGCACUUUACAAUAAGCUUGUUAAAAUCAGUUAACAAUAUGGUAACACUUCGGCAACACACAGUCUGUUUGAGCGAUCAGUAUCUAGCACAGCCUUUAUUUAUUUAAGAUUUUUUUUUUUUUUCCCAAUCCUUAAAUCUAUCACUCACAGGUUGUCCUGUUUCAUUUGUACAAUGUUCUGGAUUCAGCACUAGUUUAAUUGGGAUAUCCAAUUCAUACUUUUUAAAAAUGUAUAUUUGUUUCACUAUUUUUAUAUUCAACCCCAUAAAUGCAUGAAUCUAACUAUUCUAUUAAUCUACAUUAAUCUCUUUGAUAAUACUUUAUGUUGUAAAGAUAACAUUGUGGGUUGGACUAACAGAAACUGACGAAUCACUGAGACAAGCAUAUUAUGUACACCUUGACCAUGAAAACCAGCUUUUAGACAUUUAAUUGAAUGUGUGUGCAUUCCUUUCUCUUGAGGAAAACAUAUGUUGAGUUCAAGUCAGUUCUCAUCAGCUUUUGCAUGGUUCAGCGUGUUAAGGGUGAUGUAUAUGAUGUAUAAAUUAGACAGACAGACAGACAGACAGACAGACAGACAGACAGACAGACAGACAGACAGACAGACAGACAGACAGACAGACAGACAGACAGACAGACAGACAGACAGACAGUUGUGGUGAAGUCGUGGCCUAAUGGUUAGAGAAUUUGAUUCCUAACCCUAAGGUUGUGGGUUCGAGUCUCGGGCUGUCAAUACCAUGACAGAGUUGCCCUUGAGCAACCGAACUUCUGUUUCCACUAAAGUAUUUUCUGUGAGAUUUUCUUCUACAGGGUUUUCCAGUUUGAUUGCUGAGGGUUCCUUCAAGCUGUUUUUAUUCAGUAGCACCUUAUUGUGGGAAGAUUGAGUACAAUAUUUUGGUUUUAUUACUUUGGCUGUAUGGCACCAGUUGAGAUGUUCUUCCAUAUUGUAUCAUCUUGAGUAAUUAGGACUGAAUUCGUAGGCAAAUAAACUUUUUUUUUUUUUUUUUUAGGUCAGCAGUCUGCUUAUAUGUGACCUAUUACUUUUUGCUAUUGUUCCCUAAAUUGUUUGUGUCAUCUCUAAAAAAAAGAACAUCCCAGAAUCUAUAACUCCAGCAGGAGGGAGAAUCAGAAGGCAGAUGGCCUUGAAAGAAAACAAUCAUAAUUGAGUCUUUAUUACCUCAGCAGUUGAGCUGCAUUUGUGGCUGGUGUAGUGUGCUCUGCUGUUUGAGUGCAGCCCAUACACAUUUCAAGUCAAGUAAAGAAGCUUACUCUCCCUUUUGGGAUCAAGGUGGGAGGCCUUUUUACCCCAGUUAAGCUACUGAUCCUCAAACGAUAGUGACAAAGACAAGAAAAGCGUUGUGUGCUCGAGACUCUGGCUCCUGUGGGCUAUAUUAUAUUGUGAUGUGUCUAUCUGAGAACAGCAAACCUCAACAUUUUCCUAGAGAUCAUUUUACUAACUACUUGUUUCUUUCCAAGCUGCAGUGCCGAGUGAAGUCUGUCUAAGCCCUCUGUCCCCUCUCAUGCACACAGUUUGUAGUAAUCAUCGCUGAAGACGUGUGUUGCAUGGACAUACUACAGUACAACCUUAUCACAACCUCUGAAAUGUUUCCUGUCUGGACAUCUUAUCUACAUUGCUCAGGGAGGUAGGCUUCUAUUAUAAAUCUG
ensembl:lncRNA